AGAAGAAGAAGAAGAAGAAGAAGAAGGAGAAGAAAAAGAUGAGGAAAGAGAACUUUGUUUGAGGAUCAACUGACGUGACUGCUCAUUAAUAAUUCACUUUCUGGAAGAAGGAAUUGGAAUUGAAAAAGCAGUUUGUCAUAAGUAGGAAAAAAAAAGGAAACAAAAUCGUUGAGAUCAACUGAUGUGACUGUUCAUUAAUAAUCCUGGUGCCAAGAAAGUUUGCUCUCGCCAAAAGACGUCACAUACAUGUGGAUGGAUGACUGUAGGAUCGAAUGACCAAUUGAAAUGAGGUCCCUUUAUCCCAUGCUUUAACCAAAAAUAUUCACGAUGUGGAUGUGUAUAAAUAUUAUCCACAUAAAUGUGUGAGAGAGAAUUUCUGAUAUUAAUGGCAAAAGUGGGACGUAUAAAGCCAAGGGCAAAAAUCCAGUAGAAAAAAGGCAAUUUAUGGAUAUACUAAGGAAAAAAAAUAUAUAAUGGUAUGAUAAUGAAACGAAAUGUCCGCAUGUGGGAGAGAAGAAAUCGGUGGAAUAUGCACGACAAUGCGAGAGGGUAUAAAAAAAAAUAAGGGAGAGUGUGUGGAAACUGUACGACUGACUUCCACUCGAAAAUUCCGGGUCUAAAAAGAGGGAGGAAAGGAAAGAAAAAAAUUCUCUUCAUGGGGGAUAAAUUUCGGGGUGGUCGAGCGUAGAAGGUGAAAGUAAUAGUAUGAGCAACAGAGAGCGCACUAUAAAUAAAUAUGGUGAAAAAAAAGUGUAGAAAAUCGGAGUGGGCCGAUACGGGAAUAUCCACGCUUAUGGGGCAUGCCAAGAUAAAAGCUUUGAUUUUCAAGGAGAGUCCAUUCUAUGAGAGCAACUUACUGCAAUUUGAUAUAAAUAUAUUUACGUUUGUUGGGCAAAAUGCAAUGGCCGAAACAGUAGAAGACUUUUGAGGUAUUUGGAGUGAAGAUUAAGUCCGAUGAGAAAAGCCAUUUCUAAGUUUUGCAAAAGUACCAUUGGUAUAACACAAUAGUCCCCUCUUUCUUCCUCGACCCUUCGGCUCCACGCUCACCCCAUUAUUUUUUUUUAACGUGACGUCAGUACGGAUUCGUUAGACCGUCGACCGCCAUCAAUCCGAUGGACCUGACAGGCACACCGUGGCGAUUUUGUCUCCACGAGAUUAAUUCUUCCGGAAAUAACGAAUGACUUUACCCGAGGAGCUAGAAUAAUUGCCUUUGGAAAUAUAAAAAGAGAAAUGACGGAAGUGGAGAUAAAAAAUGGAAAAAAUCAUCUUCAGUGGAAAGCCAACGGCCCUUAAAAAUAAUGAAUUCCACUUCUGGCCAUCAACGAUGCUAAUGAAAGUCUUCUCCAAUUGAGGCUCGGGAUCCUGAUUCAAUGAAUAUGGGAACAUUUUCCAUCCGAUGAAAAUGCAGAAUCUCUAGUGAACCAUUUUUGUUUGCCGCUUCCGAGCUCGCUGUAAGCCUUUGAGAAGCCAGUGGAAGCUAAUCUAAUCCUCAAGUAUAUAGCCUAAACCUCCCUCUACCAUCCCGUUAUUUCACCAUCACCACCACCACCACCACCCACGAACUAACAACAGAAUGAGCUUUUUUGUUUACUAACAUACAUGGUGCAUAUAUAUAUAUAUGUAUACCCAAAUAUGCGUCGGACGAUAAAAACUCAUAUGUACAAGUCAUGGUUAAUGGCGAUGGAGGAGGCCGGCAGUUAGUACAAGAUGAGGAGUGAAGGGUAAGUAGGAAUCUUGUUUGAAUCGAUACGAGGAUACGAGAGGUACUAUUUCGAGAACGGCCGAUCGUCUUUGCGAAACAAAAUAAAGCCAUGAAGAGUAUACACCCAACAUCAGAGACGAAGAGAAGCUUUCGAAACGAACCACC